rnacentral:rRNA from 1 species
AAGGUUGACCUCGGAUCAGGUAGGAAUACCCAGCUGAACUUAAGCAUAUCAAUAAGCGGAGGAA